rnacentral:lncRNA from 1 species
AUAAGUGCAAGUUGGAUGAAAAUUCUAAUCCUUUGUGCACGUCGUGAUCUACAACCUAUUUUCGCUAGUAGUUUAUCCAUGUUGUUGCAGCAGGCUCAUCUAGGCGUUGUAUUUUGGGGCCUCGCUGGCGUGGAGAGGCAAGACAUGAAUUUCAAACCAAACUAAAAGGUGGGGAUCUGAUGAUUAAGUCACAAAUGCAUAAGUGUUACGCGAAAAAUUUCUUUGGGCUCAUCAUCUAGUCAAGGACUUACAUUACACUUGGUGAGGCAGUGAGAUCAUUGUUGAUACAAUGUUCGAAUCAAAUCUUGUUUGGCAGUCAAAAACAUGGGAUUUUAACUCACUGAUACUACCAAUAACAAAGUAUAAAUGGGUUUGGAACUUGGGAUGUUCGGAGAUGGAGAUAGUUAGCAAUAUUAUGAUAUACCAUGGGAAAGUGUUGUGUGAUCUUAAAUCGUGGUCUUUAAGUCAUAAGACAUUUGUGGUUUUAAAAUGGCAUUGCAAAAGAAAGCCCCACUAAGUUUGAAAGUCGUGUAUGUUACGUAUGUGAUGCAAUCUCAUGUAAACAUAGCAAUGCCUAAGCUCUACCCCGUUCUUGGACUCUAGUACAGAUGAUGGCUUCUUGUGUCAAUUAUGAU